CAGACUGAAGGAAAUAUAGAUGUACAUACUUGUAUGAUCAUACUGUAUUACUAUGAUAGUCGCCAUUAUUUAUUUGAACUUAAGCCCAACCCAAAAAAAAUCGUUAGGCCCAAGAAAAACUCAUAUGAUCUCCGAGUUUGUUGAUUUAUCCGUUAAUGGACCUUUUCAUGGAACAGAUAUAAGGCUCAACUUCGAAGACUGGUUUGGCCCAAGACUUUUUAGUAAAGCUCAGUCCAGGCUUGGGCGCAAAUAAACAACAACCAGAUCUUUUGGCUAUCCUGGAAACAGCUGUGUAGGGUCAAACGACGCUGACGAGGGAUCCUGCAAGGGUGCUGAUUCAGCAGAUAUAAUGGCCGGUCAUGCAACGGUUAGCAGAACAGUGGCAGUCUAUUUAGAUUAUUGAGAGAGAAAGUGACGGUACUAAGGAGUGAUUCCUGAGUUGUUCUUAGAGAGUGAUUGCCAUUUAUCCUUGUUUUGUUCCCCUGAUCUUCUUGUGUUGAAUAGUUAUGUUGCGAUUCCUGAGCUA